ACUUUGAUAUUGACUAUUGGAAAAUACAAUCAUGGAAAUAGGAAAAGAAAGUAAAAACAAAUAACUCAUCUGUACAUCAAACAAUAGUCAUCCAUUGUUUAAUGAAUUGUUAUUCAAAAGUUCAUAAUCUGAAGCAUAAAUAAUACGGAGUAAAAGUUUCUUUCAUUCUGUCCUUGUCAAAAAGCAGAACCCGUCCCUGCUUCCCCUAGCUCUUCCAACAUGCUCAGUUCACACCUCCAAGUUGGCGAGCUGCUGCUAUGCCUAACACUUGGAGUUUUCUGCUACCGAACGCCAGCGACUUCAAAUGUAAUAAUGUUACCGAGGAAGUCCAAUGCAAUAAGAAGUGGGAUACUCGUAGUGCAAAGAGUUUGAAUUGUGAUGUAAUGUGGUGAAUUUAUGCCACCAAGAAUCAGCCACCGAUAAGCAUUUGGAGGUGCGAGACUGCUGUUUCUAAUGAUCAAGAUGUUGAUGCAGCAUUUGGCCUCAUGUGCAACAAUUGCACUAGGUAAAUGGCUAUUACCUCCUUCAUCGGUAUAUUGCAAGUUGAAUAUCUCCAACAGGUGC